GGAUGGCAUCUGGGUUGGCCCGCGAUGGGUAACCGUGGACUCUACCCGAAAUGUGGGCUUUUUGGCCCGGAUUUUGGACCCGGAAAUGGUUCGCGGGUAACCCGAAAACCGGCAGACACGGGUACCGGGUGGGGUUGGUUUUCGCGGAAUCCGGCCCGCGGCCAAACCGUUGGUUAACCGUGAUCUAAACGACCGCGUUUUGGCUUUGAUAUAUAAACCAAAAACGCGCAGCAGCUUCCCCUUCAGACUGAUUUCUGAAACCCUAGCCGUCGAAAUCCCCUUUUCUCUCAACUGAAACCCUUCUCCAUCGCGAUUUCCUCUCGAUGAAACCCUUCUCCGACGAAAAAUCGGACGAUUUCCCAUGAAAUCUCCGACGAAUUCGUUAAUUCCUUCCUCUGUUCUCUUGUUUUCAACACAUUUGACCUAUCAAUCCGACGAUUUCGUCGAUUACAACUCCCAAAAAUGAUUAUUUUCCGAUUAGGGUUCAUAUCUCCCCUGAUUCUUCGAUUAUUAUCUCAGAUAAGUCAUAUAAUAUCGAUGCAUGCACUUAUUCUUUCCUUCUUCUUCGUGUAUUAUGAGUUUCUCACAACUUGUCCUCUAUAUAUAGGGUCCCCUUUCUGUGUUGGGAGCAGUACCUUAACAUCGAGCCACAUGCAGACUCCUAGCAACGACCACUACUAAGAAAAAACAGAGAGUAAGUUGUUUAGGUUUUUGAUUCGUUUUUUCAUUGAGUCUGAAGGUUUGCUGCUGAAAUAAAGGGUUAAAACUCCAGUCCUUGACUCUUUGUGUUCGUGCAUGUGUAUUGUGUAGGUUUUGGAGCUGUCAAUCUGUGGACUGUGGCCAUCAUCAUCCAUCAAGUUUUGGUGCGAGUACUGUAGGGUUAGAACAAGGUAAGC
rnacentral:lncRNA from 1 species